CCUACGGGUGGCAGCAGUAGGGAAUAUUGCUCAAUGGGGGAAACCCUGAAGCAGCAACGCCGCGUGGAGGAUGAAGGUCUUAGGAUUGUAAACUCCUUUUGUUAGAGAAGAUUAUGACGGUAUCUAACGAAUAAGCACCGGCUAACUCCGUGCCAGCAGCCGCGGUAAUACGGAGGGUGCAAGCGUUACUCGGAAUCACUGGGCGUAAAGAGUGCGUAGGCGGGGUAAUAAGUCAGAUGUGAAAUCCUGUAGCUUAACUACAGAACUGCAUUUGAAACUGGUACUCUGGAGUGUGGGAGAGGUAGGUGGAAUUCGUGGUGUAGGGGUGAAAUGCGUAGAGAUCAGGAGGAAUACUGAUUGCGAAGGCGACCUGCUGGAACAUUACUGACGCUGAGGCACGAAAGCGUGGGGAGCAAACAGGAUUAGAUACCCGGGUAGUC
rnacentral:rRNA from 1 species